GACGUAGGGCGCGAGCGUUGUCCGGAUUUAUUGGGCGUAAAGAGCGUGUAGGCGGCCAUACAGGUCCGUUGUGAAAACUCGAGGCUCAACCUCGAGACGUCGAUGGAAACCGUAUGGCUAGAGUCCGGAAGAGGAGAGUGGAAUUCCUGGUGUAGCGGUGAAAUGCGCAGAUAUCAGGAAGAACACCCGUGGCGAAGGCGGCUCUCUGGGACGGUACUGACGCUGAGACGCGAAAGCGUGGGGAGCGAACAGG
rnacentral:rRNA from 1 species